GCUGGCAUGACUGCAGUAAACUCAGCCAUGUUCAUUGCAAAAUCCUCCUCCUGUUUUGGUUUUCCGAGUCAAACGAAAGGCGGCGUUAUUACGUGUAUUACGUCCGUGGAUAGUGGGCGCGGUGCGUGCUCUCUGUCGGACUGCUGCUGUACAACAGCGGCGUGCAGAUAAAGGGAAUCUCCUGGAGUGUCAUCACGAAGUCUGACUGCUGUCAGUGUGGUUUCAGUCCGUUUGAUUUUUACGGCAACUUCGUUUUUGCUCCCUCUCUAUUUAUCAUCCUCAACCAGCUCUCAACCUUCACUGGCAUCACUCCGCCUGUUCCUCGUGCUUCCUCCACCUCGUUAAGCAGUUCAUUUGCUUGUCACAACCUGCUGCGACACUUCAGUGAUACCUGCUUUGGACGGAGGAGGCUGCCCAGGGGGAACAAAAUAUUUCUCGUGGGAUCAACUGUGGAGAAAAACCAGAAUGUGUUUUUCCAUCCAGAAAUCUGCAGCAUUUGUCAUCCAUGUUUCCGUAGUGAUGAGCGUGCUUUUGCAGCUUCCUUUUGGAGAGACUCUGCACCCUCCAGUCUCUACUGGUGCUGGGGGCUCAGAUCCAGUGUUCUACUGCAAGGCUGCAGGAUGUGCUGCCGAUGUGACGGUAGUGUUCUGUAAUGAUUCAGCGGUUCAACAUGGUCUCCUCCCAGACUGCUCAGCACCGCUGCUGCGCCACACAGCGUGCCAACGUGAUGGUCGCGCUUUUGUUUCCAGCCCAGCAGGGACUCGCUGUCAGUUUGAAGGGGGUGGGGAAAACAUUCCCAAAGAAGAAUGUACAGGCACUGACCCCAACUGCCUUUGGAUUUCUGUUUCUUCCCCAUCACCAACCACUUCCAACAAAGAGAAGAAAGCAGAGGGUAUCAGUCCAGGAUACAUUGCCUUAGCAGUCAUCUGUGAGUUCCAGUCUUCAUCUAGCUGCGACGCUCUGCGUUCAGAUUCAAUGCUUCAGGCACAAAUCUUCUCUCCUCCUACUUGCGCCCGUCUCCAACACCUCAGUGUGCCGUUUCACCUGCUCAGUCAGCUCUGCCCUCCCUCUCUGCUGCAGACUCUGCUUCAGUCCCUGCUGCUACUUCUGUCUAGUAGCCUUUCCAGUCAAAGCAAUGACCGUGUGUGUCGGGGAAACCCUGUCCUCAUUGGGUGGAGCUUGUUUCAGAGCGUGCUUCACCCCCGAUGAUGGGAGACUGAUUGGAUUCAUCUGCUUUGUACUGAGGGCCUGGCUUCAGAUCCCAGCUGGAAUGGCUACUCUCUGCAUGGAGUUUGUUCUCCCUGUGCAUGCCUGUGUUUUCUCUCUUGCUUCCUCCCACAGUCUAAGAACACAACUGUUAUAUUUGUAGGUCACCUUAGGUGUGUGUAUGUUUGGUUCCCUGUGAAGGACCUUUGACCUCCCCAGGGUUGUACCCCAGUGACCACUAAAGAGAGGCACCAGCAUUUACCCUGCAAGGAUCAGGUGUAGACAAGCGGCUGGAUAGAUGGAAAUAUUUAUCUAGUAAACAACUUGCAAAUGAACGCUGUGUCUCAGCGAUAUUUGUCCUGUUGUUUGUUUUUCACACACACCUGACUGGCAGUAAAUAUAGAAGAAUAAGGUCCAAAAACAUGUCCAUCAUCUCUUUCAACUCUAAAUGGGAAAAUGGUUUUACAACCAAAUAACUUUGUGCUGACAAAGAUGUUAAUUUUGAUUUUGAUCAUAAAUUUAGAUCAAAAGCAGGUAAAGGAUAAGCAACGGGUUGUUCCUUCUGUUUUUGUGUGCCGUUCAGAUUUUGUGUGUACAGAGCACUACGACAAAAAGAGGAAGAAGUGCUUAUAUUUCAUAGAUUGUGAAAUAUGCAUAUGAUACAUAGAUUUACAUUCAGAUAUUGUGCCUUCAGUGCAGCUUUAUGUUUAUGUCUUAGAAUAAAUACUGGAUCUCUUCUUUCACGUUGGAGGCCAAAAUGAACAACUGCCUUACACACAACAAGGAUGCUCAACUACUAACCAAUCUUUUUUGCCAUGAUCUGUCCACUUGCUUUGCUUUUGGCCAAAAUAUCCUUAAAGAGCCUGGCAGUAAGGUGGCAUUGCAGUUGUUGCACUUGUGGGAGGCAUUGCUCUUUGCCUUUGGAAGAGACGUAGAGGACCAAACCAGCAGCCAAACAGGGGCCCUGAUGUGCGUCAACAAGUCACAGAGCUCCAACUCUUGGGAGAGGCUAAUGAGAGGGAUGUUGAAGCUGCCGUCUCAGUGGAUGAUGAUACCAUACCUCAACGAGGACAUGGACAUUAACUCCAAGAUACAGGAUCCAAUUUAGUCAGAAUUCAAUUGAAAUCAAUCAAUAAUAAUCUCAUCAUGUAGACAAACUUACUGGCUUAGUCUCAUUCAGCUUAUUGUAGUGAAACCCUAAACACGCGGUCAAAGAAAUUAUAUUGCAGAAAACAUGAAGGCUUUCCUAAAAUAGGUCAAUCUGAGGAGCUUCAGGGGCACCUUCGCUCAUUCUUCCACUUAUUUAUUCUUUUUUCUGUAUUGUGCUUUUGUCAUGAUUUGUCUAUGUGAACCCGGACAGAACACGCACACACAGAGUUUGUUCUAUUGCAGUUUAUUGAAAGUAAUGAGUAGGAUGAUGAUGACCAGAGUUAGUAACCGGACUGGAGAUGAUGGGUGCAGGAGCAGGCUGACUGGAAGAGACUGGAGAGAGUGCUAGGAGGUGCUGGGCUGCUGUCAGACCAGAGGUGCAGAGUGAGACAGUUAUUGGGGUGUAGGACUGCUGGAGCACAGGGAAGCAGGCAGUCCAGCAACAGAGCAGAGAGCAAACCUGGAGCACUGGCUUUACUUGAGGCACAGAGGAGGCAGGAAAUCCAGCAACAAAGCAGGGAACAAACCAGGCUGACGGACGUGGAGUGAGUGGAGACUGAUGAGAACAGGACUAGACAGGCGUGGUUUUGGUAGAGACUGAAGACGAGCCAGCGGGGAAGAGAAGACUGAGGGAGGCUUAUGUAGGGAGGCUGGCAGGUGGAGUGAGUUCUGACUAAUUAGUGCCUAA